UACGUAGGGGGCAAGCGUUGUCCGGAUUUAUUGGGCGUAAAGAGCUCGUAGGUGGUUCGGUAAGUCGGAUGUGAAAUCUCCAGGCUCAACCUGGAGGGGUCAUUCGAUACUGCCGUGACUAGAGGUCGGUAGGGGAGUGUGGAAUUCCUGGUGGAGCGGUGAAAUGCGCAGAUAAUCAGGAGGAACACCCGUAGCGAAGGCGGCACUCUGGGCCGAUACUGACACUGAGGAGCGAAAGCGUGGGGAGCGAACAGG
rnacentral:rRNA from 1 species